UCCCAGACUCCUACGGGAGGCAGCAGUUAGGAAUAUUCGUCAAUGGGGGAAACCCUGAACGAGCAAUGCCGCGUGAGUGAUGACGGUCUUUAUGAUUGUAAAACUCUGUUGUAAAGGAAGAAACCUUAUCAUAGGCAAUGAUGAUAAGCUGACGGUACUUUACCAGAAAGCCCCGGCUAACUACGUGCCAGCAGCCGCGGUAAUACGUAGGGGGCGAGCGUUAUCCGGAUUUAUUGGGCGUAAAGCGUGUGUAGGCGGUUUAUUAAGUCUAAGAUUAAAGCCUGGAGCUUAACUUCAGUUCGUCUUAGAAACUGGUAGACUUGAGUGUGGUAGAGGCAAGUGGAAUUUCUAGUGUAGCGGUUAAAUGCGUAGAUAUUAGAAGGAACACCAGUGGCGAAGGCGACUUGCUGGGCCAUUACUGACGCUGAGACACGAAAGCGUGGGGAGCAAAUAGGAUUAGAUACCCGCGUAC
rnacentral:rRNA from 1 species